GUAGUCCACGCCCUAAACUAUGGAUGCUAGCAGUUUCGAGUAUCGACCCUCGAAGUUGCGAAGCUAACGCGUUAAGCAUCCCGCCUGUGGAGUACGAGCGCAAGCUUAAAACAUAAAGGAAUUGACGGGGACCCGCACAAGCGGUGGAGCGUGUUGUUUAAUUCGAUGGUAAGCGAAGAACCUUACCCAGACUUGACUUCCUUGGAAUUUUUACGAAAGUAAAUUGUGCCUUCGGGAACCAAGUGACAGGUGUUGCAUGGCCGUCGUCAGCUCGUGUCGUGAGAUGUUAGGUUAAGUCCUUCAACGAGCGCAACCCUUGUAAGUAGUUGAAUUUUUCUACUUAGACUGCCCUGGUAACAGGGA
rnacentral:rRNA from 1 species